AUGCAGGCUAGGCUGGGGAGUUGGCCCUUCCCUGUAACAGUAAACGGGCCUCAUGAUUGGGCUGAAUGCCUGGGAGCGGUGUAUGUCAAGCUGCAAGCCUUGGCGUAAACGUAGACGCUCUGUCCUGUAGGAUUGAUGCUUAUGGGAACCGGUUCAGAUCCUGACGGAUGCAGACCUAACUGUUUGUAUUGAUGCUUGCAGGGUAGCGGAGCCGAGAAUACGCUGAGAUAAACCUGUAGUUUCGGUAUGCAUCCAUCCCGGGAUGCCUGCGC
rnacentral:SRP_RNA from 1 species